AAGAGAAUGAAGAUCCUAAAAGAAGCUGCUAACUAUCUUUUAAAGCGGUUAAAUUCCGUUUUUCUCUUCCCAA
rnacentral:tRNA from 1 species